rnacentral:hammerhead_ribozyme from 1 species
AGCUAGCUGGCAAGUUCCAAAUAGGACGAAAUGCGCAUCCUGGCU